AUUGAACGCUGGCGGCAUGCCAUACACAUGCAAGUCGAACGGCAGCACGGGAGCAAUCCUGGUGGCGAGUGGCGAACGGGUGAGUAAUAUAUCGGAACGUGCCCAGUCGUGGGGGAUAACGUAGCGAAAGCUACGCUAAUACCGCAUACGAUCUAUGGAUGAAAGCGGGGGAUCGCAAGACCUCGCGCGAUUGGAGCGGCCGAUAUCAGAUUAGGUAGUUGGUGAGGUAAAGGCUCACCAAGCCGACGAUCUGUAGCUGGUCUGAGAGGACGACCAGCCACACUGGGACUGAGACACGGCCCAGACUCCUACGGGAGGCAGCAGUGGGGAAUUUUGGACAAUGGGCGCAAGCCUGAUCCAGCCAUUCCGCGUGCAGGAUGAAGGCCCUCGGGUUGUAAACUGCUUUUGUACAGAACGAAAAGGCUCUGGUUAAUACCUGGGGCUCAUGACGGUACUGUAAGAAUAAGCACCGGCUAACUACGUGCCAGCCGCCGCCGUAAGAC
rnacentral:rRNA from 1 species